AUUGAACGCUGGCGGCGUGCUUAACACAUGCAAGUCGAACGAGAACGGAUUAUAGCUUGCUAUAAUUGUCAGCUAAGUGGCGCACGGGUGAGUAAUGUAUAGGUAAUAUGCCUCUUACUAAGGGAUAACAAAUGGAAACGUUUGCUAAUACCUUAUACUCCUUUUAAACAGAAGUUUAAAAGGGAAAGAUUUAUUGGUAAGAGAUUAGCCUGUAUUGUAUCAGUUAGUUGGUGGGGUAAUGGCUUACCAAGACUAUGACACAUAACUGGUUUGAGAGGAUGAUCAGUCACACUGGAACUGGGACACGGUCCAGACUCCUACGGGAGGCAGCAGUGGGGAAUAUUGCACAAUGGACGAAAGUCUGAUGCAGCAACGCCGCGUGGAGGAUGACACAUUUCGGUGCGUAAACUCCUUUUAUAUGAGAAGAUAAUGACGGUAUUAUAUGAAUAAGCACCGGCUAACUCCGUGCCAGCCGCCGCAGUAA
rnacentral:rRNA from 1 species